AAGUCGUAACAAGGUUUCCGUAGGUGAACCUGCGGAAGGAUCAUUAUCAAUGCAAAGUUUCUCCAAUGAAUUUUGGGGUUUCUUUGAUAAAAUUUCUCUUCUUUUCCUUUCUUUGAGGGAAUUGAAGGAAUCCACUGUGAUCUGUUUCGAGCUUUUUCAUUUGAAAAAGCUACAACCCGUUUUUUUUCUUUGGGAAACAAACGGGUGUGGGGCCUUUUAGGUCUCGCAAUUCAAUAUACUUUAUGAAAUUCUUGAUUGAUUCUUAAUUGAAACAAAAAACAACUUUCAACAAUGGAUCUCUCGGCUUAC
rnacentral:misc_RNA from 1 species